GAAAGCAAGGAACAUCCUUAAAUACUCAGCUAAUAAUACAGAUUUUUUUUUCUCAUAAAAAAUGUAAUGCAGCUGUGAAAAGAAAUUGGAAUAUUUAUUUUCAUAAUUAUUUGUAGAGGUAAAAAGACGAGAGAGGGACUCAAGCAAGACAAUGUAGAACUCCCAACAAAUGUGCAUUAUCAUCUUCAAUGUGGAUUUUUAUAUGCCCAUGCCGUAAGCAAUAGGGGCCGGGGC
rnacentral:lncRNA from 1 species